GCCAGAAUGGUGUAGUGGUUUGAACCUUGGAACAGGACUCAGGGGAUCAGGGUUCGAAUCCCUGCUCAGCCA